rnacentral:rRNA from 1 species
UGCAGCGACGCCGCGUGAGGGAUGACGGCCUAUCGGGUUGUAAACCUCUUUCAGCAGGGACGAAGCGCAAGUGACGGUACCUGCAGAAGAAGCACCGGCCAACUACGUGCCAGCAGCCGCGGUAAGACGUAGGGUGCGAGCGUUGUCCGGAUUUAUUGGGCGUAAAGAGCUCGUAGGCGGCUUGUCGCGUCGACCGUGAAAACUUGGGGCUCAACCCCAAGCCUGCGGUCGAUACGGGCAGGCUAGAGUUCGGUAGGGGAGACUGGAAUUCCUGGUGUAGCGGUGAAAUGCGCAGAUAUCAAGAGGAACACCGGUGGCGAAGGCGGGUCUCUGGGCCGAUACUGACGCUGAGGAGCGAAAGCGUGGGGAGCGAACAGGAUUAGAUACCCUGGUAGUCCACGCUGUAAACGUUGGGCGCUAGGUGUGGGGGGCCUCUCCGGUUCUCUGUGCCGCAGCUAACGCAUUAAGCGCCCCGCCUGGGGAGUACGGCCGCAAGGCUAAAACUCAAAGGAAUUGACGGGGGCCCGCACAAGCGGCGGAGCAUGCGGAUUAAUUCGAUGCAACGCGAAGAACCUCACCUGGGUUUGACAUGGCCGCAAAACUUCCAGAGAUGGGAGGUCCUUCGG